AUGAACGCUAGCGGCAGGCCUAAUACAUGCAAGUCGGACGGGAUCCAUUGAUAGCUUGCUAUCAAUGGUGAGAGUGGCGCACGGGUGCGUAACGCGUGAGCAACCUGCCUCCAUCAGGGGGAUAGCCUCUCGAAAGAGAGAUUAACACCGCAUAAUAUCAACAGUUCGCAUGUUCAGUUGAUUAAAUAUUUAUAGGAUGGAGAUGGGCUCGCGUGACAUUAGCUAGUUGGUAGGGUAACGGCUUACCAAGGCGACGAUGUCUAGGGGCUCUGAGAGGAGAACCCCCCACACUGGUACUGGGACACAGACCAGACUCCUACGGGAGGCAGCAGUAAGGAAUAUUGGUCAAGGGGCGGAAGCCUGAACCCGCCAUGCCGCGUGCAGGAUGACUGCCCUUUGGGUUGUAAACUGCUUUUGUCCAGGAAUAAACCUAAAUACGAGUAUUUAGCUGAAUGUACUGGAAGAAAAAGGAUCGGCUAACCCCGU
rnacentral:rRNA from 1 species